rnacentral:rRNA from 1 species
GACGAACGCUGGCGGCGUGCCUAAUACAUGCAAGUCGAACGCAGUGGGGACGGGUGAGUAACACGUGGGUAACCUCCCAUCAGAGGGGAUAACACUUGGAAACAGGUGCUAAACCGAUACUGAUGGAUGGACCCGCGGUGCAUUAGCUAGUUGGUGAGGUAACGGCACCCCAAGGACACGAUGGAUAACCGACCUGAGAGGGUGAUCGGCCACACUGGGACUGAUACACGGCCCAGACGCCUACAGUAGGCAGCAGUAGGGAAUCUUCGGCAAUGGACGAAAGUCUGACCGAGCACCGCCGCGUGAGUGAUGACGGCCUUCGGGUGGUAAAGCUCUGUUAAUCGGGACGCGGUACCGGAAUAGAAAGCCACGGCUAACUACGUGCCAGCAGCCGCGGUAAUUC